GCUGGGCAUGAUAGCACUUGCCUGUAGUCUCAGCUACCCUGGAGGCUGAGGUAGGAGGAUGACUUGACCCCAGGAAUUCUGGGCUGUAGUGCAUUAUGCCAGUUGGGUGUACACACUAAGUUCGGCAUCAGUAUGGUGACCUCUUGGGAGCAGGGGACCACCAGGUUGCCUAAGCGGGUGAACCGGCCCAGGUUGGAAAUAGAGCAGGUCGGAACUCCUGUGCUGAUCAGUAGUGGGAUUGUACCUGCUCUGGGUAUGCUGCCUAGGCUGGAUCCUGCUACU
rnacentral:SRP_RNA from 1 species